AUUGAACGCUGGCGGCAGGCCUAACACAUGCAAGUCGAACGAGUGGCGCACGGGUGAGUAAUGUCUGUGAAACUGCCCGUUGUAGGGGGAUAACUACUGUAAACGGUAGCUAAUAUCGCAUACCACCGGAUGUGUCCCGAUGGGAUUAGCUAGUGGGUGGGGUAACGGCUCACCUAGGCGACGAUCCCUAGCUGGUCUGAGAGGAUGACCAGCCACACUGGAACUGAGACACGGUCCAGACUCCUACGGGAGGCAGCAGUGGGGAAUAUUGCACAAUGGGCGCAAGCCUGAUGCAGCCAUGCCGCGUGUAUGAAGAAGGCCUUCGGGUUGUAAAGUACUUUCAGCGAGGAGGCGUUACUCGCAGAAGAAGCACCGGCUAACUCCGUGCCAGCCGCCGCGGUAAUUC
rnacentral:rRNA from 1 species